CCCCAGUGUUCCCAGGUGUAUCCCAGGUGCCCCCAGGUGUAUCCCAGGUGUCCCCAGGUGCCCCCAGGUGUGCCCAGGUGUAUCCCAGGUGCCCCCAGGUGUGCCCAGGUGCCCCCAGGUGUAUCUCAGGUGUGCCCAGGUGCCCCCAGGUG